UUUCCUAAAAGUACUUCCUGCAUGUGUUUACUUGAAUCUCUUACAAAAUAGAUACCACAGACUCAAGGACAAUCUGUGGAGCAAGAGUUAUUGCUUCUGAGAGAAGAGCUGAGCCAGGCACAACAGAAAUUGCAUGAAAUGGAGGAAGCAAAGGCCAGUGAAUAUCAAGGGGAAUCGGAAAAAAUGGAGAGAACAGAUGUUAUUCCAAAACCACAUGACUCCCAGGAAGUCAGCAUCCAGACUGAAAGAGAUGAUGAUGAAUUCAAAAUGCAACUGGAAAAUCUCCAGAAUGAGAGAGACCAGCUGAGAGAAAUGCUACAGGAGACAAUUAGCAAGAACUCAGAGAUACAGGAGGAGUUGAGAUGUACUCGUGAAUGUCUUGCACAGCAUCAGGAGAAGAUUGUGGAGCUGAAAGGAAGUAUUUCAGAGAAAGAAAACCAGCUCUCAAAGGUGCAAGGGGCAUUGGAGGAGAAAACUGAUGAGCUGCAGCAGAAGGUCAGAAGCAGUUUUGUCAAAAAAAUUACAAGUUCUGCUGAAUUUGGUUCCCAAUGUCUACUGCACACUUCAGUUUGUAGAGCUCCAGUAGAUGUACUAAAGAAACCCAUUAUUUGUAACUGAACAUGUCUUGGUGCUAAAUGAAUGAAUAGUAUUUGGAAUCAACAAUGCACUUUAAACUCUCUCUUUUUGCUCAGUGUUAAAUUUUAUGCAUCCCAAUAAUGUCAUUUAGCGAUCUCAUUCUGGAAAUCUGUGAGCAACUUUAGGAGAGCUUAGGUCAUGUUUUAAUUUAUUACUCUAUUAUCAAUUGGUUCUCUGCUUUUUGUUUUAAUGUCUGAAGCCUGUGUGGAUUUUAGGUUUUAUUUUAGUGUAUUGUGAUGUCUCCUAUGCAUACAGCAAUUGAGACAUUUUUAUGGAUUUAGAAUGUCUUGCAUAGUUUCCCACAUUGUACUUUUGCCUUCCACUGAGACAGAAGCACUGACAUUUGAUUGGCUCUUAAGCAAAAUUGGGGUGGGUGUUUUUUUUUUUUUUUUUGUUUUUUGUCUUACUAUAGCAGGAAACCACUGGGGGUAUUAUUUUCCCUCAAACAAUCCAUUUACAACAACCCAUAUGUACAG
rnacentral:lncRNA from 1 species